AGAUCAACUAUAAAUUUAUUACAAGUCUUUGGAUAUUGCCUAAUUUCUUACAAGUGCUAAACAUAUCAAUUUUUAAGUACCUAUGCACUAAUUCCAUCAUACCUCAAAAAUCCAAUGCUCAAAUAUUAUAAAUUUUUUAUAUACAAAUUUUUAAUACAGUCAUCUAUACUUGUGGAAAUUUUUAGCCAAAAAAUCGUCCAAAAAUUUAGGAUAUGGCUCAAAUCAAAACGUCUAUUGAAAACAACUUACUUACAAAUUCUAAUUUUAAACACUAAUUUC
rnacentral:lncRNA from 1 species